rnacentral:lncRNA from 1 species
UUAUUACUUUCAAGUCAGAUUAACAGAGUAAUUUCCAGUUACCACCAGCGAAGAGAUUCCUACCUAUCCUGGCAGGCAAUUGUUCAGUUUUGCAAAGCUUCAAAUAACUUUACAGCUUGAAAUUCUGAGUAAGUAGGAAAACUCAACAUUUAAUCUUACAUUUGAUGCUUAGUUGGGUAAUUUACUCAGAUACUUUGGCCAGUGUUCUUCUGCUGAAAGGACAGGGAAAAUAACAUCUGUGUUCAUUGUGCUCUUCAGUUGCUGUAAUAGAGUUUUUAAUAUACUAGAUACUAGGCUUUACACUGUACUUACACCAUGAAACUUUAUGUUCAUGUCUUUUCACUGACUGAAAGGACAGCUCUCCAAACCAAUCCCAAGACGUGUAACAUUCCUGUGCCAGAGCAGGACUCACCAGUCAACAGCUGCCUUACAGGGAAAUGAACAUGAUGUUUAUGAAGCAGGUUCCUUCUCUGCACCACAGGAGGAGAGGGAAAGGAUGGAGUCUAUGGUGGGUGACACAGUGCCUGCCCAUUAUGCACAGCUCUAAGCACAUCUUUAAAGAUGAGACC